rnacentral:rRNA from 1 species
ACUCAAAUGAAUUGACGGGGCCCCGCACAAGCAGUGGAGCAUGUGGUUUAAUUCGACGCUACGCGAAGAACCUUACCAGGACUUGACAUGGAAUUAAAGACCCUAGAAAUAGGGGGAUAGUCAUAGUUCACACAGGUGGUGCAUGGUUGUCGUCAGCUCGUGUCGUGAGAUGUUAGGUUAAGUCCUGCAACGAGCGCAACCCUCGUCCUUAGUUACCAUCAUUCAGUUGGGGACUCUAAGGAGACUGCCGAUGUAAAUCGGAGGAAGGUGGGGAUGACGUCAAAUCAUCAUGCCCUUUACGUCCUGGGCGACACACGUGCUACAAUGGCCGGUACAAAGAGAAGCAAUACCGCGAGGUGGAGCUAAUCCCAUAAAGCCGGUCUCAGUUCAGAUUGAAGUCUGCAACUCGACUUCAUGAAGUCGGAAUUGCUAGUAAUCGCAGAUCAGCCAUGCUGCGGUGAAUACGUUCCCGGGGCUUGCACACACCGCCCGU